UUGGUUAGUCCGCACGAGCGCAACCCUACUUGUUAGUUGCCAUCAUUCAGUUGGGCACUCUAGCGAGACUGCCGGUAAUAAACCGGAGGAAGGUGGGGAUGACGUCAAAUCAUCAUGCCCCUUAUGACCUGGGCUACACACGUGCUACAAUGGUUGGUACAACGAGUUGCGAGUCGGUGACGGCGAGCUAAUCUCUUAAAGCCAAUCUCAGUUCGGAUUGUAGGCUGCAACUCGCCUACAUGAAGUCGGAAUCGCUAGUAAUCGCGGAUCAGCACGCCGCGGUGAAUACGUUCCCGGGCCUU
rnacentral:rRNA from 1 species